rnacentral:snRNA from 1 species
AUUGCUUCUCAGCCUUCUGGCUAAGAUCAAGUGUAGUGACAGACACAAAACAGAUUCCUCUAUCUGUGUGGGAAUAGUAGGCUCCCAGGACUUCCUGCACAUACACACACACUGUAUGAAAUAUGUUAUAUAGUACUAUGUUAUGCAGAUGUUAU